rnacentral:rRNA from 1 species
UACGGGGGGGGUAAGCGUUGUUCGGAAUUACUGGGCGUAAAGGGCUCGUAGGCGGCCAACUAAGUCAGACGUGAAAUCCCUCAGCUUAACUGGGGAACUGCGUCUGAUACUGGAUGGCUUGGAUUCGGGAGAGGAAUGCGGAAUUCCAGGUGUAGCGGUGAAAUGCGUAGAUAUGUGGAAGAACACCUGUGGCGAAAGCGGUUUUCUAGCUUAAACCUGACGCUGAGGCACGAAAGCAAGGGGAGCAAACAGG